rnacentral:rRNA from 1 species
CCUACGGGAGGCAGCAGUGAGGAAUAUUGGUCAAUGGCCGGGAGGCUGAACCAGCCAAGUCGCGUGAGGGAAGACGGCCCUACGGGUUGUAAACCUCUUUUGUCAGGGAGCAAGGUGCAGGUCGGGACCUGCUGUCAGAGUACCUGAAGAAAACGCAUCGGUAAACUCCGUGCCAGCAGCCGCGGUAAUACGGAGGAUGCGAGCGUUAUCCGGAUUUAUGGGGUUAAAGGGGUGCGCAGGGGGAGGCCAAGGUCUGCGGUAAAAUCGCGGUGCUCAACCCCGCUCCGCCGUUGAAACUGUGUCCCUUGAGUGCGCGAAGGGUAGGCGGAAUGCGUGGUGUAGCGGUGAAAUGCAUAGAUAUCACGCAGAACUCCGAUCGCGAAGGCAGCCUACCGGCGCGCAACUGACGCUCAUGCACGAAAGCGUGGGUAGCGAACAGGAUUAGAUACCCUUGUAGUC